rnacentral:tRNA from 1 species
GUGGGUGUAGCUCAGUAGGUUAGAGCGCAGGAUUGUGGCUCCUGAGGCCGUGGGUUCAAAUCCCAUCACUCACC